GGGUCAGUAGGUUGGUCGUGCCACCGGUACGUACUGGUCUCACUGAUUCCUCCUUCCUGAAGAACCGUAAUGCCAUUAAUUUGGUGUUGCGGGGAAACAGGACUGUUACUUUGGAAAAAUUAGAGUGUUUAAAGCAAGCUAAUGCUUGAAUACAUUAGCAUGGAAUAAUGAAAUAGGACGAUCGAUCCUAUUUUGUUGGUUUCUAGGAUUGACGUA
rnacentral:rRNA from 1 species